UCAGAGCCCUCGCGCCCACUCUUACACUCCUCCCAGACCUUCCCAUCAGUCUGCUGCCUCCUGCCAUGCCCCACCCCUCUCCUGCCAGGGACCUUGAUCUCGGGGCUCUUUGCCCUCAUCCGCCUCUUCUCCGCACCCUCCUCAGUGUCCUCCUGGACUGACACCCCUUCAUACGACCCUGUGGCACCAAGCAGUAGUAUAUCUUGGUCACUGCUCCUUGCACUAGUUAACAGCAAGCGAGGAAUGAUCAAAGAAUCAAAUUUGCAUAAUUAAGAUGAUGAAUGAUGACCCUGGGGGGUCUGGGACCUGUCUAAAGCUAUGGAGACUGGGAACUGGCUGUGGGAAGAACGAGGAAGAGAGUUCCACAGGAGGGGCAGCAUGGGCAGAGGACUCAAGGCAGGAGUGAGCCCAGCAGUGGCAUCAGAAGGGGUGCUGAGCAGAGUGCAGAGCAGGAGGCCAGACUGACCGUACAUGAAGCCAAGGCCAGGACCUGUGCAUGGAGCCAAGUGGAUUGUGCACUGGACUGCAUGAAUCGUUGAGAGUGAGCUACAUCUCGACGGAGCAGCUCAGAAACAACAGGCUGGGUUUUACGGUCGCAAGCCUCACAGUCCUCCUCUGGGCUCGGGAAGUGGCUGGUGGCCAGGGUUACCUUUCUCACCGCUGUGGCACCUCCUGACAGUCCUCUGUGAUGAGCCGGGAGGAGGCAAUGGAUGUCACUCCCAAGCCAUAGAGCUGAGUGCCUGCAGCCGCUCUUUGCCUUCUCUCUUGCCGAAAGUCAGCACCACUCAGCUGGGUGACCAGCAACUCCACCAUGCUGGCCUGUUUCCUCAUCUGUCCAGUGGGGGAGUUAGAGGACUGUGUGGUUGGCAUGCAUUAAAUGUGACACAGGGUGUGACAGCAGCAGUGCUGGCAUAGACUGAAUGGUAGCUGCUGUUGGAGUGAUUCGAUUUGCCCCAUGGGGGUUUAGGGACUCAGUCUCUCCAGAGGGGGGACGACCAUGGAAAGGAACGGGAACGGCCCCAUGUCUCUGCAGUUGGACCCUGAAGUGUUUGCAGCUGCAUUUCCAAUUUGAACCCACCUGUGUCUUUGGGUGGGCAGUCUGGUGAACAGGCAGUCUGCUGGGACCCCUGACAGUCAGCUGCCCCAACGUGGGUCCACACACUGACUUAGAAUUGCUUGCAAAGACCGACAAAACUUGGAC
rnacentral:lncRNA from 1 species